rnacentral:lncRNA from 1 species
AGCACAGGGCAUGAAGUCAGGCACAGAGAGUCCCUGAUGACCUGGCUUUCUCAUUGUGGCUUCAGUGCAAUAGAAGAAUGUACUCUCUUGUGAAUCACUGGCCAUGGGACCUCACUCCUUAGAGACAUCUGUCCACUGAGACCUCACUUUACUGUUGCAGUGACUAAGUAGGAAAUAGGAACCUCAAGUUGCGUCCAGCCCAGGACAAGAGGUUAGAGUGCAACCUCUAGACUUCAGGAAAGUGAUGCUGCAGUCACCAACUCCUCAGAGCCACGGUGCAGCCCCAGCCCCUGCUCCCAUGACACAGCCCUGCACCUGAGCAGCACGCAGAUCUCAGGACCAUGCUUCUACAGUCAAAAACCUUUUCAUGGUGCCAGGACACUGAGCUUUUACACUGUCCAGAUGCCAUGGAGAUUUGGCCAGUUGAUUUAUUGAAAUCAGUUAUUAGUGCUGUACAUUGGUACUUUGAACAUGCACCCUAACCAAG